AAACCAACAGGGAUUGCCUUAGUAACGGCGAGUGAAGCGGCAAAAGCUCAAAUUUGAAAUCUGGCACCUUCGGUGUCCGAGUUGUAAUUUGAAGAAGGUAACCUUGGGAUUGGCUCUUGUCUAUGUUUCUUGGAACAGAACGUCACAGAGGGUGAGAAUCCCGUGCGAUGAGAUGCCCAAUUCUAUGUAAGGUGCUUUCGAAGAGUCGAGUUGUUUGGGAAUGCAGCUCUAAGUGGGUGGUAAAUUCCAUCUAAAGCUAAAUAUUGGCGAGAGACCGAUAGCGAACAAGUACAGUGAUGGAAGAUGAAAAGAACUUUGAAAAGAGAGUGAAAAAGUACGUGAAAUUGUUGAAAGGGAAGGGUAUGAGAUCAGACUUGGUGUUUUGCAACCUUACCUUCGGGUGGGGCCCCUGCAGUUCAUCGGGCCAGCAUCAGUUUGGAUGGUAGGAUAAUGACAUUGGAAUGUAGCUUGGCUUCGGUUAAGUGUUAUAGCCCUUGUUGAUACUGCCUGUCUAGACUGAGGACUGCGUCUUUGACUAGGAUGCUGGCAUAAUGAUCCUAUACCGC
rnacentral:rRNA from 1 species